AGUCCUGAACUUAGAGUUACAAGUUAAAAAGUUAAGGACAUGUAGUCCUGAACUUAGAGCUACAAGUUAAAAAGUUAAGGACAGGUAGUCCUGAACUUAGAGUUACAAGUUAGAAAGUUAAGGACAUGUAGUCCUGAACUUAGAGCUACAAGUUAAAAAGUUAAGGACAUGUAGUCCUGAACUAAGAGUUACAAUUUAAAAAGUUAAGGACAGGUAGUCCUGAACUUAAAGUUACAAGUUAAAAAGUUAAAGACAUGUAGUCCUGAACUUAGAGCUACAAGUUAAAAAGUUAAGGACAGGUAGUCCUGAACUUAGAGUUACAAGUUAAAAAGUUAAGGACAUGUAGUCCUGAACUUAGAGCUACAAGUUUAAAAGUAAAGGACAGGUAGUCCUGAACUUAGAGUUACAAGUUAAAAAGUUAAGGACAUGUUGUCCUUAACUUGGAUGGGUGCAAUGAAAAAGUUAAGGAUAUGGUGUCCUUAACUUUGAUGUGUGCAGUAAAAAUGUUAAGGAC
rnacentral:lncRNA from 1 species